UACGGGGGGGAGCAAGCGUUUGUUCGGAUUUACUGGGCGUAAAGGGCGCGUAGGCGGCCAGCGCAAGUCAGUUGUGAAAUCUCCGGGCUUAACUCGGAAAGGUCAACUGAUACUGCGCGGCUAGAGUGCAGAAGGGGCAACUGGAAUUCUCGGUGUAGCGGUGAAAUGCGUAGAUAUCGAGAGGAACACCUGCGGCGAAGGCGGGUUGCUGGGCUGACACUGACGCUGAUGUGCGAAAGCUAGGGGAGCGAACGGG
rnacentral:rRNA from 1 species